GCAGCCCAGCUCAGACUGUGUUCCUGCUUUGCCGAAUGCCUGCCUGCCUGCCUGCCUGGCGUGCCUCUAUGCAGAUUACCCGGGGCAAAGGUCACGGGGAGGGAGUCCCGAGCUGGUACAGCCACACCAAACUCGCUCGCAGAGAUCAGCACCACGCAACAGUAGCAGUUUGUAGUCCUAAGCGACUCUCAGCCCCCACACAAAGAACUCGGUGUUAAAUGAUCCUCUAGGGGCUUGAAUAAGAAAGAAUCAAGUACUUAGUCAUGGAAAAUAAAUAAUCAGCAGAAGAGAUAUUGGAUGCGGACUGUGCUUCCAGCUAAGUAUGGUUAGAAUCCAACCUGAACCUGUAAACUGCACCCUGCAAAUACUUUGAUGUUCCUGCUCUCUUCAAUGCGGACGCGCCAUACCUCUUCUGAAGGUGGACAAACGACGACUGUGGAGACGCCUUUUGAGGAUAUGAAACACUCUCCUAGGAAAGCUCACCAGGAAUCGACUCUCAUGUUUUCCUAGCACUAUGCAAAGAUCCUGUUAUUUCCCAGGUCUUUUAAAAUAUUAUCUAAAGGCUUGUAUUCAGCUUCCCUAUAUGAUUGCUUUUAGUCUGACACAGAGGCUGUGUUAUUGUUCUCUGUAUUUAGUGCUAUAUGUUUUAUUGGAGUUUUGUUCUUCAAUUAUGCUUAAUGGCCAACAUUAGGACUAACCCUCUGCCAAUGUGUGCGCCAGGGUUUUCUGCAUGAGGGAGAUCUUGCUUGAUCUCCUCAUCACUCUUUAGCCACCUGUGGCUCUCUAAACUACUUCUGUGGCCCUUAGGGAUAUAGUUACAGGCAGCAUAGGAAACUGCAGAGGGAAGGAGAAGCAGCUAAAAAUUGCCUCUCCCUCCUCACACAGCCUGGAGUUUAGGAAGAGGUUGGUCUGGAUGUCAGCCAGUAUUUGACACUGCCACUAUAAGAGUAUAUGUACUGAAAGAGCAGGAUAUAACUAUAAUUUUCAAAAGUGGUCAAUGUUCUGAUGGAGAUGGGGCUCAAACACAAUAUAUUCCAGCAUUAGGGUUAAAGGAACGAGGUACCAGUUUCUUCCUAGAAAGAUUUGUAGCACUUCUUUGUGUAUAGAACUGAUUGCACUGCUCAGAAAACAAAUCUUACACAAACUGUGGCAAUGUACUAUAAAUGUUGUGUAGGCAAUAUCAGAAGUUAAUUCUGUAAGCUGUUUUUAUGUUCCAUGCCCUCGCUAGAAAAAUCUGAUUGGAAUUUCAAAUUGGAAAUUGUACCUUUAAAAUCUAGUGCCCAAAAUUAUAUUUCUGUAAUCUUA